rnacentral:rRNA from 1 species
UGGGGAAUCUUGGACAAUGGGCGAAAGCCUGAUCCAGCAACGCCGCGUGAGUGAUGAAGGCCUUCGGGUUGUAAAGCUCUGUCGGUUGGAACGAAUAAGGGUCACCUAAUACGUGACCCGAUGACGGUACCAGCAAAGGAAGCACCGGCUAACUCUGUGCCAGCAGCCGCGGUAAGACAGAGGGUGCAAGCGUUGUUCGGAAUUACUGGGCGUAAAGGGCGUGUAGGCGGUGGGGUGUGUCUGACGUGAAAGCCCUCGGCUCAACCGAGGAAAUGCGUCGGAAACUACCUCGCUGGAGUGCGAGAGAGGGUGGCGGAAUUCCCAGUGUAGAGGUGAAAUUCGUAGAUACUGGGAGGAACACCGGAGGCGAAGGCGGCCACCUGGCUCGUAACUGACGCUGAGACGCGAAAGCGUGGGGAGCAAACAG